CACUCCUACGGGAGGCAGCAGUGGGACUCCUACGGGAGGCAGCAGUGGGACUCCUACGGGAGGCAGCAGUGGGACUCCUACGGGAGGCAGCAGUGGGACCCACUCCUACGGGAGGCAGCAGUGGGACUCCUACGGGAGGCAGCAGUGGGAUCUCCUCCGGGAGGCAGGAGAAAGACUCCUACGGGAGGCAGCAGUGGGACAGUUGGCUCUGAAUCAAUGCUGGCGGAACUAUCNUNCUUNAAAUCGNAGGGNUGAAUCU
rnacentral:misc_RNA from 1 species